AAGUGAAAAGGCUUAAAUGGAUUAGGGGGACGAUAAGACCCUAUAAAGCUUGACAAUAAGUUAAUUAUAUUAUAAAUUGUUAGUAUAACUUGAUUUUAAUUGACGUUUGUUACGUUGGGGCGACGAGAAUAUAAUGAGUAACUGUUCUUAAAUAUUUAAUGACAAAUAUAAUUGGUAUUUGAUUGAUCCUUUAUUAAAGAUUAAAAGAUUAAGUUACUUUAGGGAUAACAGCGUAAUCUUCUUUGAGAGUUCAUAUCGACAAGAAGGUUUGCGACCUCGAUGUUGAAUUAAGGUAUCCUUAUGAUGCAGCAGUUAUAAAGGAAGGUCUGUUCGACCUUUAAAUCCUUACAUGA
rnacentral:rRNA from 1 species